rnacentral:rRNA from 1 species
GUUGUAGUCUGGAGAAGUGCUUUCCGUGCCGGACCGUGUAUAAGUCUCUUGGAAUAGAGCGUCAUAGAGGGUGAGAAUCCCGUCUUUGACACGGACUACCGGUGCUUUGUGAUGCGCUCUCAAAGAGUCGAGUUGUUUGGGAAUGCAGCUCAAAAUGGGUGGUAAAUUCCAUCUAAAGCUAAAUAUUGGCGAGAGACCGAUAGCGAACAAGUACCGUGAGGGAAAGAUGAAAAGCACUUUGGAAAGAGAGUUAAACAGUACGUGAAAUUGCUGAAAGGGAAACGCUUGAAGUCAGUCGCGUUGUGCAGAACUCAACCUAGCUUUUGCUUGGUGCACUUUCUGUAUGACGGGCCAGCAUCGAUUUUGACUGUCGGAAAAGGGUUGAAGGAAUGUGGCACCUCCGGGUGUGUUAUAGCCUUUGGUCGCAUACGGCAGUUGGGAUCGAGGAACGCAGCGUGCCGCAAGGUGGGGCUUCGGCCUACAUUCACGCUUAGGAUGCUGGCAUAAUGGCUUUAAACGACCCGUCUUGAAACACGGACCAAGGAGUCUAACAUGCCUGCGAGUGUUUGGGUGGAAAACCCGAGCGCGUAAUGAAAGUGAAAGUUGAGACCUCUGUCGUGGAGGGCAUCGACGCCCGGACCUGAAGUUUUCUGACGGAUCCGCGGUAGAGC